CAGACAGGUAUCGUCUUCUCUCACUGAUGUACCCGACCACUGUGCCAGGUGGCUGGAGAAGCUAUCAAGUAGUUCCCAAGACUGACAAUAAUUAAUACUGAAGUAACAUUAAGUUAGUGUAGAGUGCUAUCAUCUGGGUCACCAUGUGGGUAGGUGGCUACUCUCACACCUGGAUUACCUGGUCAAGUCUCCUCGUUUGUCUGACUAUCUGUUUGGUUAGACCAGGUGGUACGUACAUCAGCACCCACCCUCAGAACAAGACAGCCAUUGAGGGUCAACGAGUGUCGUUUGCCUGUGCCGCAGAUGCCUACCCUAACAAUAUCACCUUCACCUGGCUCCAUAAUGGGAUCCGGGUACAGGACAGACCUGACUUCCCACAGAGAAUCCACGUGGAGUACGAGGCCGAACUGCGAAGCACGCUCAUCAUUCCAUCGGUGGCCAAGAAGGACAUGGGGCUGUACACGUGUCGCCCUAGCAACGGAAUCAGCGAGGUCAAGGAGACAGCCGCUUACCUCAAUGUUACAUAUUUACCCCGGGUUUUACCUAUGCCCAGUCAGCUGUUUCUGCCCCUGGGUUCUCCCGCUCAGAUCCCAUGCCCAGUAGACUCUAACCCACCUGUCACACACAUCUUCUGGACAAAAAAUGGCCGAGACCUGGACGUGAACUCACGGCGGCUGAACCUUCAGAAUGAUGGCUCUUUGAUUAUAUUAAAUGUGGAGUUGGCUGAUGCUGGAAGUUACAGCUGCACUCCACAGAACAACUUGGGCCAAGGCUCCAGUUCCCUUAUAGUGCAGGUUAUAGUCAGAAACCCCCCUCAGUUCACCAUAUCCCCAGAGAAGCAUUAUCAGAGGACCCCAUCAGAGAGCGUCACAAUGCCGUGUGCGGCCACAGGCUCACCUGUACCCUCCAUCACCUGGAAAAAGGAUGGUAAAAGUUUAGUUCUCCAGGACCGAAUUCGGCAGGUUGGGGGGAACCUGACCAUAACAAACCUACAGAAGUCUGACUACGGCCAAUACGAGUGUAUCGCUACAAACACUAUCACCAGUAUUGUCAGGUUAACCACACUGUAUAUAGAAGGUACCACUCCUCAUGCGCCCCGUAACCUGACCAUCUCUAUGGGUUUGUUUCACGCCCGUGUCAGCUGGGCUCCGGCCUAUGAUGGGGGCUCAGAGCAGCAUUAUAUACUGUGGUACAGAAACACACGCAUGGCGACCAGUGAGUGGCAGACCAUGCCUGUACCAGAUAGCUCCACCUCCAUCACAGUCUAUAACUUGGAGCCGGACUCCCUCUACGAAUUUUAUGUCCUGUCCCGCAACAUCAAAGGGAAUGGGAUGCCCAGUGUUGUGAUACGAGCCCGGACACUAGGUUAUGUCGAUGGUGUGGCAACUGCUCUUCCUACAAAAGCCAACAAUGUGACAUAUAUCCCUCCAUUAGUUAGGUCAAUAGGUCCUCAGCCUAGCCCUCCCCGUAAUGUGAGUGCUCGGCUGAUUGAGCCCGGCAAAGUGCACAUUACUUGGGCGCCACCUAUCAACUCCACGGUGCCCGUCUUUUACUACGUGAUCCAAUCACGUCAAGAAGAAGGUAUCUGGGAACAAAUCCAUAAAAAGAAGAUCAAAGUGCCCCAGACUUUUUACACCUGGGAAUCUAUGAAGCGUGGGAUGGCCUAUGACAUUCGGGUGCUGUCAUUUGGAGUGCUGGCAUACAGCCUGCCUAGCAGUGCUGUAAAUAUCUAUGUGCCAGCACCACGGUCGGGUGGGGUAACAUGGCCUGUGAUUGGUGCAAUAAUUGGGGCAAUAGCCUUUUUACUGGUUGCAAUUCUCCUAGCGGUGAUAGCUUGUUUGUGCAGUAGAAGAAGAGAACGAGAUAGGACAAAAAAAUAUGAUAAUGUUCGGUACACCGGACCAAAGUACAAUUUAGAUGACGCUGUGAUACGUGAAGAUUCGUCAGAACGGGAUCAGUGGGAGUCCAGCCGAAGAGGAAACUCUCUGAUCCAUUCCAACAUCUACCUGGUGUCUCAGGCGCAGACAGACUACAACGACGACAAUGGUUUUCUGGGGCUUGUCUCCCGGGGACACGUAGACCCCAGACACUCAUUCCAUGGAGACCCCCAUGGGCUACAGAGUCGACCCAGCCCCAGCCCUGCCCCUAUCCUCAAUUUGCACCCUGGAGACAACGAAGCCAGUCUGUCUGUAGAUUCAAUUGAUCCAUUCCGGGGCUCCUACAGGAGAUCCCCAUAUGAGAGAGACACAACUCCAUAUGGAAGGGAGAUAACUCCACAUGAGCCAAGCCAGUACGACAGAGAGACACCACGCCAGAGAAGUUGGUCAGAGACAGUGAGGUCAAGGCCGCAGUCAAGGUCACCUCACAGAGGUCAACGCUCAUUUUCGGGGGAUUCUUACAUGGGACCGAAUAAUGAGGAGCCAUCCACGAUUCCUCAGGAGGAACAUGUCCGUAGUCCUCGCACCCCGUCAGUAUUUGGAGGUUAUGACGGACCCUACCACUCCCUCUACUCCCCAGAGGGUGAUCAGACAGAUGGUGGACAGCCUAGGCACCCCACACGGCCGGGCUUUCCCCGUCAUAGCUCCGUGAAACCCUCAGGUCACAAGACCUACCUGACCGGGGACCCUGAGCCCCACCCACCAUGGCGGUUAGACAGUGACAUCAGUUCUGUGUUACCUGACUCCUCCCAAGGCCCCUACCCCUCCACCAUGUCGGAGACCCCACUACAUGACCCCAGUCAGACCCCAUACCAGGAUGUCAGCAGCCUCCCAAUAAGGAUUCCCACGCCCCGCUCUCCAUUCUCACGUACCACCGGCAUCACUCCGAUAAAACCUGGCCCUAUCCACAUUCCCCCUUACACAGACGACUACAUGGAGCCUGAUACGAGUCAUUUCCAUGACGACAGCCAGGAGGAGCCAGCUGCAGCCAACUACUUAAGGGAUCGUUUACAGGGCACAGUGGACAGAGUGCGUCGCCUGCCUAGGGCACGACGUGGGCGGGGAAGGCCAGGGUCUGGGGACCAUAACAGUUAUGGGGUGAGAUCGCAAGCUUACACCCCUCCCCCAGGGCAUCAAUCCCCGGGCCUAGGCCUGCCCCAUGAGGAUCAGGCAGUCAGAAGAGACAUACCUCAGCCAUUCCACCCCCAGCCUUAUGGGUAUGCUCGGGACAUUGCUCCUUACAAGGGGGUGGGGGACAAACGGACCAGCCUCAGCAGUUCUGGGCGGGGUAGUAGUGUAGGGAGGGGAAAGCCAUACUGGGACACUUACCGGCGCUCAUACGGGGACGCGGUACCUGAUUCAUUCAGCCAGAGCUCAGGGAUAGGCAGUCGGAACAUCUCUCAGAGCACAGGGUCUUCUGGACCAGGGCGUCACCAAAAGGGCAGCACGUCUGUCAGCUCAUUGGCCACCCACCAGGAGCACGACCUCAGUAUGGACUCUUCCCCAUUCGCUGAUGCCAGCGGGAACCACAGGAAGGACGUGUCUGGUGAUGAGAACUAUGAGUUUGACACUACUCACCCGACAGACUCAGACAUUGCAGAUGUGUUAUCGGGUAACCGUUCUCCGGGCACAGAAUUCCACAUCCCAGGCAGACCUUACACCAGUCCGCAUGAGUUUUACUCAGAACUGUAUCCCAAACCACGUCGACAGAGCGCUUACAGUGACAGUGAGAAGCGGUUUGAGCGGUUGCGUGGCGAGUUCCAGGAGUUCCGCAGACGACAACAGGAGCGCCUGGUACAGCAGCGGCGUAUUAGUGCCAUGGACAGUGAGAUGUUGUAACCCCACCCCCACCCCCCUCCCCCAUCUGUAUAUAGGCCACCUGAUGCUGAACAUGUCCACAAAGGGGCAUUGUCUACAGCAGAACAGGACACACCUGACCUGAGCUGAGAUAUCUGAUAUCCUGGACUGGGCAGACAGUUCCUCUGCAUUCUCAUCUCUAAAGCGUACAUAUUCAUCAGAUAUUUAAUAUGAAUGUAGAUAUGAGAAGAUACAGUGUACCUGUAAGAAGCCAUAUUUGUACGGAUACUGUGUACUUUAUAAUAUUAACAUGUUAAGUUUCUAUAGCUGGAUUUAUCGGUGAAAAAUUUAUUACGGAUGAACAAAACAUAUCAUAUAUAAAUGUUCAUAUUUUGUGUGUCUGUUCUGUUUUCGUCUACAGUGAGAAGUUUGUUGUUCACAGAUUCAUAUUUCACUGAGGUUGGUUAAAUGGCUACAGCAAACCAUGUGUGCCAGUUUUGACAUCUGUUGGCCAUUUUGCUAACCUGGAACUUUGUUGUCCUGACAGUGCUAUCCUCCACAUGUAAAGAUAGUGGUGCUGAUGUGGAACCUAUAGAGUUGUUGGCAGUGUGCCCAGAACACCUUGUUGUGUGACGACUUUGUUCUCUUUAUCCUCGUCUCUUCCUGGUCAAAUGGUUGGCUGUCUCUGUCAGCGCAAGGGAGAUAACUCUUUACAGGACAACACAUUUACAUUCAUACCUGGAAACCGUGUUGUUUGCAACCUCUGCAAAAGGUGUAGUUUAGAGAUAAAUGAAUAUUCCUGUAAAAAUAAUGUUAUUUUCUCACAUAGCGUGUUCACCUGUCAUAAUUUGUAAUAAUGAUUAUGUAAUUAACUUACCUGUGUAUGUAUCUCAGUCCCCUGGAGAUCAUGUGACAAAUUAUGUUAUUAUUAUUUAGAUGCCAUGUCAGAAUAAUUUCCAUUGGCACAUUGUAUUUAAUGCGUCCACGACCUUUUAAAUGUAUGUGUAUUUAAAUAACAUUUGUAUAUUCACUACAGAAAAGGGGCCAAAUGUGAAAUUUGCUUUUUACAAAUUUAUACAAAUUCCAAUUCAUAAUUUUAUUAUAAAUACAUCAUGCAUGGUGUGUACAUUUUUCAUUUAUUUAUUUAAAUUACCAUUUAUUUUUAAAAUUUAAUAUCAUCCAACAAGAUGUGGAUUUUAUGAUAUCAGUUGAUAUUAACUUUGUUAACAAUUAUACCUAUAAGAAUUAAGCUCUAAGAUAGGUGUUUUUGAAGGCUUAGAUGGGUGAAAUCAAACUUCCAGGAACUAGCAUGAAAAAAUGUGAAAAAUGGCCUAUUCUGGUGACUUCAGGAAUGCAUUGGGACAUCUUUUUUUUCCUUUAUUACAAUUUAAGAUUGUGUUCAGAGAAAUAGGUGCAUAGUCUAAUGGAUUAUGAGGGAAAUGGGAGGCAUGGAUGUGUAUGGUGGUUUUCCUAUUGAUCUUGGUUUUAACACAAAAUAGUGCUUUCUCUUACUGCACUGUAUCUGUGUACUUGGCCUGUACUUCAGAGUAGCUUGUCAUGGGGAGCUGUAGUGAUUUGAGCUGACCACCUCUAAAUAAUAACAAGCCUGCUGGUCGUGGGUUUCCCCCCGGGCUCUGCUGGCCGCCAUCAUGCAAGUGAAAUAUUUUUGAGUACUGCAGAAAACAUCAAGCAAAUAAAUAAACAAUAAGGGAAUAAUGCUGUGCAAUUCAAGAUAAGCAUUUUUGUUGUAGAAAUGCAUGCAGAAGAGCCAUGUCGAGCUAACCUAUACAGGAAAUGAUGCAUUGAUACAUUAUUAAAAUACCAAUAAUGAGAUUACGACCCCAAGUGGUUUGAUAGCUCAUGUACAAUGAUAUAUUGUCCCAUUUUAUUGGAAGCGGGGGAGGAUGACUUAUAUUUAGAUAAUUUUUCUUAGCCUGUCUUCUUUUAUGUACCACAUGUCCAUUCAAAUAUGUUUUUUUUUAUGUUUACAUUUGUCUUAGGAAUUUUUCUUGAAAAUGAUUUAUACGUUUUAUUUGUUAAGUUUAACUUGUUAUUGAAAGUCAAAGAGUGUUGUAUGUAAUUACUACACAGUCACAGCUACAUGUACUCUAACAGUGGAUGAAUUUGGCUGGCAUUGAGAAUCCCCAGUUUCUGCUCUGAGAAACUGUCAACAAAGUUUCUUACAUCUAAGAAAUUUUCUUGAUGCCUGACACCCUGUGAAAACCAAUUGUACAAACCAAUUUCACCAAUUGUGAAAGUUAGAAAGUGUCUGUGUACGUAGUCAGCUGUUUUAUGGGUCAGUAUUUGUUGCACAAGAAAAAACAGUUAGUUCUCUAUUUUUUGUAUGCACAGUUACCUACAUAAUUCUGAUGUAGGUAUAUAACAUGUUUUGUUUGUUUUUGUUUAGUUGCCUGCAAAUUUUAGGUCUAUCUCGGAAAGAUGUGACCGUGAUUGUGUAGGCCGAAUGUGUCCAGUGUGUCACCUCAUCCUGACAUUACCACAGAUCAUUCAUGUGUCUUCAGUGUGUAUUCUGGAGGUUGAUAAGAUCAACAGAAACUGAUACUAUACAUACUGACUGGCAAAGAUUAGAAAGGAACCAAAUGUACUUCAUGACAAAAGUUUAAGUGGAUCUAGCACAAGAGGUUUCAGUAUUCAAAAUCAAUUUGGACACUUAGUUUGAAUAUACAGCCACAUCAGGUCUACCUGUGAUAUAGAAUCCAGGACUGUUGUUGAAAAUAAAAUAAAAAAGAAGUCAAAUCUGCCUAGUGCAAUAUGUGGAGGUUGUGCCCAGUGUCCCUUGUAUUUGAUAGGCAGCACAGGAUAUUGUCAUUUCCCUAGAUAGGCUGGUGCAGGGUUAUGUCCCUUAGCCAGGGAACCCUUCAGAACUCGUGUCUAAUUACCAUGUCCAGCUCACAAAUCCAGUGCAUGUUCUGACUGUUCCUUGUUAUUCGUUGCUCACAGCUCCUGUAUGUAUGGAUGUAUGUAAGCACCUACGACUGCGCUAAUGUGGCCGUCUUGAUACCAACGUGAUCUCAGGAAUAAAUGAU